rnacentral:rRNA from 1 species
GACGUAGGGCGCGAGCGUUGUCCGGAUUUAUUGGGCGUAAAGAGCUCGUAGGCGGCUUGUCGCGUCGUUCGUGAAAACCUGCAGCUCAACUGCAGGCUUGCGGUCGAUACGGGCAGGCUAGAGUUCGGUAGGGGAGACUGGAAUUCCUGGUGUAGCGGUGAAAUGCGCAGAUAUCAGGAAGAACACCUAUGGCGAAGGCAGCUCUCUGGGACGGUACUGACGCUGAGACGCGAAAGCGUGGGGAGCGAACAGG